GACAGAGGUGCCGAGCGUUAGGCGGAAUCACUGGGCUUAAAGCGUGUGUAGGCGGAUCGUUAAGUGUCUUGUGAAAUCCCGGGGCUUAACCCCGGGCGUGCAGUGGAUACGGGCUGGCUGGAGGCAGGCAGGGGAGAACGGAAUUCCUGGUGUAGCGGUGAAAUGCGCAGAUAUCAGGAGGAACACCGGUGGCGAAGGCGGUGGUCUGGGCCGGUACUGACGCUGAGGAGCGAAAGCGUGGGGAGCGAACAGG
rnacentral:rRNA from 1 species